GACGAACGCUGGCGGCGUGCCUAAUACAUGCAAGUAGAACGCACAGUUUAUACCGUAGCUUGCUACACCAUAGACUGUGAGUUGCGAACGGGUGAGUAACGCGUAGGUAACCUGCCUGGUAGCGGGGGAUAACUAUUGGAAACGAUUGCUAAUACCGCAUAAUAUUAAUUAUUGCAUGAUAAUUAAUUGAAAGGUGCAAUUGCACCACUACCAGAUGGACCUGCGUUGUAUUAGCUAGUAGGUGAGGUAACGGCUCACCUAGGCGACGAUACAUAGCCGACCUGAGAGGGUGGUCGGCCACACUGGGACUGAGACACGGCCCAGACUCCUACGGGAGGCAGCAGUAGGGAAUCUUCGGCAAUGGACGAAAGUCUGACCGAGCAACGCCGCGUGAGUGAAGAAGGUUUUCGGAUCGUAAAGCUCUGUUGUAAGAGAAGAACGGGUGUGAGAGUGGAAAGUUCACACUGUGACGGUAUCUUACCAGAAAGGGACGGCUAACUACGUG
rnacentral:rRNA from 1 species